rnacentral:misc_RNA from 1 species
AACGCACAUUGCGCCCAUUAGUAUUCUAGUGGGCAUGCCUGUUCGAGCGUCAUUUCAACCCUCAAGCCCUGUUGCUUGGUAUUGGGAGCCUGCCGUAGGGCAGCUCCUUAAAAUGAGCUGGCAGAGUUGUGGUAAACUCUAAGCGUAGUAAAUCUUCUCGCUUCUGAGGCUGCCGCGGCGAUAGCCACGAAACCUAUUACUUUCUAGUGGUUGACCUCGGAUCAGGUAGGAAUACCCGCUGAACUUAA